rnacentral:rRNA from 1 species
UACGAAGGGGGCUAGCGUUGUUCGGAAUCACUGGGCGUAAAGCGCACGUAGGCGGCCGUGUCAGUCAGGGGUGAAAUCCCGGAGCUCAACUUCGGAACUGCCUUUGAUACAGCACGUCUUGAGUCCGGAAGAGGUGGGUGGAAUUCCUAGUGUAGAGGUGAAAUUCGUAGAUAUUAGGAAGAACACCGGUGGCGAAGGCGGCCCACUGGUCCGGUACUGACGCUGAGGUGCGAAAGCGUGGGGAGCAAACAGG